UACGUAGGGGGGCAAGCGUUGUCCGGAUUUAUUGGGCGUAAAGAGCGUGUAGGCGGCUUGGUAGGUCUCGCGUCAAAACCUGAGGCUCAACCUCAGUUCGCGUGGGAAACCACCUAGCUAGAGUCCGGAAGAGGAGAACGGAAUUCCCAGUGUAGCGGUGAAAUGCGCAGAUAUUGGGAAGAACACCAGUGGCGAAGGCGGUUCUCUGGGACGGUACUGACGCUGAGACGCGAAAGCGUGGGGAGCGAACGAGGA
rnacentral:rRNA from 1 species